CUUGUAGCUGGGCCAGCCUGGGGCUUGGUUCUAUGUCCCUGCGGAAGUUUAUACGAGACCUAGUUUCCAGGGAAGAACUCACUGAUGCCGCGAGGGAGAUGGGGUACUGGAUGAUGGUCUUCAGCCUUAAGGCUAUGUUUCCAGUGUUCUCUGGCUGUUUCCAAGAGCUACAAGAAAAGAAUAAAUCUCUGGAGUUGGUGUCCUUUGAGGAGGUAGCUGUGCACUUCACCUGGGAGGAGUGGCAGGACCUGGAUGAUGCUCAGAGGACCCUGUACAGGGACGUGAUGCUGGAGACCUACAGCAGCCUGGUAUCAUUGGGGCAUUACAUUACCAAACCUGAGAUGAUCUUCAAGCUAGAGCAAGGAGCAGAGCCAUGGAUAGUAGAAGAAACCCCAAACCUGAGACUUUCAGGCUAAGCCUCCCUCCUUUUGGUAGAGGCUUUUUUAUACCAUUUGGGAACUGGUUUGGAUAAGCUACCUUAAUGAAGGACGACACAUCCCUCCAGAGAUGAUAAAAGACUUUUUGUCUUUUCUGAUUUAAGAAAACUUUAUCUCGUAAGCUACCUAUAGUUUACAAAAAUUCAGUAAAGUAUAAUUUUUUGAACAAAGAUGGAAGCAUUCAUUUUGUCUCCCUACUUGAUUCCUCCAAAAUUUGGAAACCAUUUGGUAUACAGAAAGCAUAGCACUGGCUUCUGCUUCUGGGGAAGCCUCUGACAACUGACAAGGUGAAAAAUAAAUCUGGUGCUUGCACAUCACAUGGUAAGUGUGAGGGCAGGGGGGAGGUGCUACACACACUUGUAGAUAACCAACUCUCAUGAAAGCUAACUAUUGUGGGAAUGGCACCAAAGGAAAUGAUGCCAAACUGUUCUUGGAAAUCCUGCUGUCAUGAUUCAAUCACCUCCCCACUAGGCCCACUUCCAACAUUGAGGAUUACAUUUCAAUAUAAGAUUUUUGUGGGAACACACACCCAAACUAUAUCAUUUUGCCCCUGGCCAUUGCAAAUCUCAUAUCCUUCUCAUAUUUCAAAAUACAAUCAUGACUUUCCAAUAAUCCCCAAAGUCUUAACUCAUUUCAGCCUUAACUGAAAAGUCAAAAGUCUCAUCUAAGACAAAGCUAGUUCCUUCCUCCUAUAAGCCUGUAAAAUAGAAAACAAGUUAGGCACUUCCAAGAUACAAAUGGGGCAGUGGCAUUGGGUAAAUAAUCCUAUUCUAAAAGGAAGAAAUCAGCCAAAAGAAAUGGACCACAGGACCCAUGAAAGUCUGAAACCCAGAAUGGCAGUUACUGAAUUGUAAGGCUCCAAAAUAAUUAUUUUUCACUCUGUGUCCCAUUUUCAGGGCACACUAAUGCCUUGGGAAGGUUCUACCUUGUGCCUUUGCAUGGUUCAGCCCCCACAGCUGCUCUCAUGGGCUGGCAUUGUGUACCUCUGGCUGGUAUUGUGUGCCUCUGGCUUUUCCAGGUGCAGGGUGCAAGCUGUAGCUAGAUCUACCAUUAUGGGGUCUGGAGGACAGUGAUCUUCUCCUCGCAGAUCUCCUAGGCCAUGCCCCAGUGGGGAGCCUGCCUAGGGACUGUCACCCCACAUUUCUUUUCUCCAUUGUUUUAGUAGAGGUUCUCCAUGAGGGCUCCACCCCUGCAGAAUGCUUCUGCCUGCACACCCUGGCUUUUUCGUACAUCCUUUGAAAUAAAGGUGGAGACUCCCAAGUCUCAACUCUUGCAUUUUGUACACCCACAGGCCUAACACCACAUGGAAGCUACCAAGGCUAUGGCUUGCACCCCCUGAAGCAGUGACUGGAGUUGUAACUGAGUCAAUUUGACCUACACCUGGAGCUGAAGCAGUGGCCAGGAUGCAGGGAGCCAUGUUCCAAAUCUACCCAAGGCAGCAUGUCCUGGGCCUGAUCCCAGAAACUAUUCUCUUCUUUUAGGCCUCAGGGCCUAUGAUGGGGGACUGCCUUUUAGAUUUCUAAAGUGCCUUCAAUUCCUCUUUCCCAUUGUCUUGGCUAUCAACACUUGCUUUUUUUUUUAGGUUAUACAAAUAUCUCUAACAAGUAGUUGCUCCAUAGCCUGCUUGAGUUCCUCUCUUAUAAAAGCUUUUUAUUUUUCAGCCACAUGACUAGGCUGCAAAGUUUUCAAGCUUUUACACUAUGCUUCCCUUGUAAGCUUAAGUUACAACCUUUUUUUUUUUUUUUUGCUAGAACAUGUGAGCAUAGGUUGUUAGAAGCAGCCAGGCCACAUCUCAAAUGCUUUGCUGUUUAGACAUUUUUCCAACAGAAACCCUAAAUCAUCAAUUUCAAAUUCAAACUCUUAUAUAUCCCUAGGGCAUGACAGAAAUUCAGCCAACCACUUUGCUAAGACAACAUGCGUGACCUUUGUUUUGGUCCUAAUUAGUUUCUAAUUUUCAUCUGAGACCUCCUCAGCCCAGCCUUCACUGUCCAGAUCACUAUCAGCAUUUUGGUCACAGCCAUUCAACCAGUCUCUAAGAAAAUCUCAACUUUCUCUCAUUUUUCUGUCUUCUUCUGAAUCCUACAAACUCUUCCAACCUCUGCCUAUUUACCCAAUUACAAAGCUGAUUCCACAUUUUCAGGUAUUCUUAUAACAAUUUUCCACUCCUUGGUGCCAAUUUUAUGUAUUAAGCUAUUUUUGCAUCACUAUAAGAGUGGGACUGGAUAAUUUAUUUUUAAAAAAGGAGGUUUAAGUGGCUCCUGGUUCUACAGGCUGUAGAGAAGACAUAGCACUGGCAUAUGCUUCUGGGGUGGCCUGUGGAAGUUUACAGUCAUGGCAGAAGUUGAAGCAGAAUCUUGCACAUCACACAGCAAAAAGCAGGAGUGAAAAACAGAGGUGCAAGUUGUUACACACUUUUAAAUAACCAGAUCUUAUAGGAACUCACUUACUAUUAUGAGGAUAGUACCAAAUGGGAUGGUGCUAAGCCAUUUAUGAGUAAUCCACCCCGAUGAUUAAAUCACCUUUCACCAGGCCCACCUCCAACAUUGAGAAUUACAUUUAAAUAUGAGAUUUGGGAGGGGACACAUAUUCAAACCUUAUCAGAGGAGUCUUUAUGUUUUUGCCAAUAUAAGAUUAUAUCAUUGGUAAAAAAAAAAAGAUAAUUUGACUUCUUUUCCAAUUGGGAUGCCUUUUAUUGCUUUCUCUUGUCUGAUUGCUCCAGAUAGGACUUUCAGAAUUAUGUUGAAUAACAGUGGUAAAAGUGGACAUUCUUGUCAUCUUCCAGAUUUUAGAGGAAAGGAUUUUAGUUUUUCCCCACUUAGUAUGAUACUAGCUGUUGGUCUGUCAUAUAUGACUUUUAUUAUGUUGAGGUAUGUUCAUUCCAUACCCAGUUUUCAAAGGGUUUUUUAUUAUUAAAGAAUAUUAAAUUUUAUCAAAUUUUUUUAGUAUAAUUGAAAUGAUUAUAUGGAUUUUGUCCUUGUUUUUUUUUUUUUUUUUUUUUUUUUGAGAUGAAGUCUCCCUCUGUCACCCAGGUUGGAGUGCAAUGGUGUGAUCUCAGCUCACUGCAACCUCUGUCUCCUGGGUUCAAGUGAUUCUCCUCCUUCAGCCUCCCGAGUAGCUGGGAUUACAGGCACCCACCACCGUGACUGGUUAAUUUUUGUAUUUUUAGUAGAGACAGGGCUUUGCCAUGUUGGCCAUACUGGUUUAGAACUCCUGAACUCAGAUGAUCUGCCCACCUCGGCUUCCCAAAGUGCUGGAAUUACAGGCGUGAGCCAUUGUGCCUGGUCCCUUCAUUCUGUUUAUGUGAUGUAUCACAUUGAUUGAUUUGCAUGUUGAACCAUCCUUGCAUCCCUGGGAUAAAUCCCACUUGGUCAUUAUGAAUUACCUGUUUGUGUGUUGUUUAAUUCAGUUUGCUAGGUUUUUUGCAAAUUUUUGCAUCAAUAUUCUCAGAUAUGGGCCUGUAGUUUGCUUUUUUAAUGUGUCUCUGUCUGGUUUUGAUAUCAGGGUAAUACUAGCCUCAAAGAAUGAGUUUGGAAAUGUUCUUUCCUUUUCUAUUUUUCAGUCUGGUCCUACAGACUUUUUUAAUUAAGGCUUUAAUUUUGUUAAUUGUUAUUGGUCUGUUCAGGUUUUAGAUUUUUUCCUAGUUCAAUCUUGGUAAGUUGUGUUUGUCUAAGAAUUAAUUUCCUGUAGGUUUUCUAAUUUGUUGGCACACAAUUGCUGAUAGUAACCACUAAUGAUCCUUUGAUUUUCUGAAGCAUUUCUUGUAAUGUCUCCUUUUUCACCUCUGAUUUUACUAAUUUGUAUCUUCUCUGUUUUUCAGUUAGCCUGUCUAAAUAUUGGUCAAUUGUUUUACUUUUCAAAAAAUCAACUUUUUGUUUAUUAGUCUUUUGCAUUGUUUUCUUCAUUUUAACUUUAUUUACUUCCGCUCUAAUCUUUAUUAUUUCUUCUAAUUUUGGAUUUGGCUUGGCCUUUUUCUUCUAAUUAAUUAAGAUGUAUUGUUAGGUUAUUUAUUUGAAGCUUUUCUGUUUUUUAUGUUGGCACUUACAGUUAUAAAUUUUCCUUUUAUAAUAGUACCUCUUUUACUAUAUUCCAUAGGUUUUGCUAUGCUGUUUCCAUUAUCAUUUGUUUCAAGAAAUUUUUCUAUUUUCUUCUUAACUUUUUUAUCGACCUACUAAUCAUUCAGGAGCAUAUUGUUUAAUAUCCUUGUGUUUGUAUAGUUUCUGAAAUUCCUUUUUUAAUUGAUUUAUAAUUUCAUUCCCUGUAGUCAGAGAAAAUGCUCAAUAUUACUUCAAUUUUUUGGAAUGUCUUUAGACUUGUUACUUAACAUAUGGUCUAUCCUUGAGAAUAACCCAUGUGCUGAGGAGAAAAAUGUAUAUUCUGCAGCUGUUGGAUGAAAUUUUCUGUAAAUAUCUAGUAGGUUCAUUUGUUCUGUAGUGCAGAUUAAGUCUGAUGUUUCUUUGUUGAUUUUCUAUUUGGAAGGUCUAUCCAAUGACUAAAGUAGGGUGUUGAAGUGUCCAGCCAUUAUUGUAUUGAGGUCUCUUUCUUUAGUUCUUAUAAUAUUUGGUUUAUUUAUCUAGGUGCUUUAGUGUUGGGUGCAUAUAUAUGUUCAAUUAUUAUAUCCUCUUGAAUUGAUCUCUUUAUUAUUAUAUAAUGACCUUUUUAAUCUCUUCCUACAGUCUUUUGUUGAAAUCUAUGUUUGUCUGGUAUAAGUAUAGCUAUUUCUGCUCUUUUUUGGUUUCUGUUGGCAUGUAAUACCUUUUUCCAUCCUUUUAUUUUCAGUCUAAAUAUAUCUUUAUAGGUAAAGUAUGUUUUUUGUAGGUCACAGAUUAUUGUCCUGCUUCUCUAUCCGUUCAUCCACUAUUUUUCUUUUGACUGGAAUAUUUAGUUCAUUUACAUUCAGUGUUAUUAUUGAUAAGCACUUACUCCUGCCAUUUUGUUAUUUGUUUUCUGAUUGAUUUUUGUCCUCCCUUCUUUCCUUUCUUCCUGUCUUCCUUUUAGUGAAGGUGAUUUCUCUUGUAUUAUAAUCUAAUUUCUUGCUUUUUACUUUUUGUACGUCUGUGGUACACUUUUUGAUUUGAAAUUACCAUGAGGCUUGAAAACAAUAUAAUACAUGAUUUUAGACUGUGGACAAUUUAACACUGAUUGCAUCAACAAAGAAACAAGCAAAACAACUAAUAAAAACUAUACUUUAUUGCCA